rnacentral:rRNA from 1 species
UACGUAGGGUGCAAGCGUUAAUCGGAAUUACUGGGCGUAAAGCGUGCGCAGGCGGUUAUGUAAGACAGGUGUGAAAUCCCCGGGCUUAACCUGGGAACUGCAUUUGUGACUGCAUAGCUAGAGUACGGUAGAGGGGGAUGGAAUUCCGCGUGUAGCAGUGAAAUGCGUAGAUAUGCGGAGGAACACCGAUGGCGAAGGCAAUCCCCUGGACCUGUACUGACGCUCAUGCACGAAAAGCGUGGGGGAGCAAACGAGG